UACGGAGGGGGCUAGCGUUGUUCGGAAUUACUGGGCGUAAAGCGCGCGUAGGCGGACCUGCAAGUCGGGGGUGAAAGCCCGAGGCUCAACCUCGGAACUGCCUUCGAUACUGCGGGGCUCGAGUCCGGGAGAGGUGAGUGGAAUUCCUAGUGUAGAGGUGAAAUUCGUAGAUAUUAGGAAGAACACCAGUGGCGAAGGCGGCUCACUGGCCCAGUACUGACACUCAAGUGCGAAAGCGUGGGGAGCAAACAGG
rnacentral:rRNA from 1 species